rnacentral:rRNA from 1 species
AAGCGUCUGUAGGUGCUUAAGAAGUCUGAGGUAAAAACUCAGGGCUCAACCCUGAGAGCGUCUUGGAAACUUCUUGAGUGGAGCAGUGGAAAGGCAUCUGGAAUGCCGCAUGUAGGAGUAAAAUCCGUAGAGAUGCGGUAGAACGCCAAAAGCGAAGGCAGGAUGCUAGCCACUUGCUGACACUGAGAGACGAAAGCGUGGGGAGCGAAGCGGAUUAGAUACCCGCGUAGUCCACGCCCUAAACGAUGCGAGCUCGAUGUGGGAGGUUUUCAAUUGCCUUCCGUGUCCAAGCUAACGCGGUAAGCUCGCCGCCUGGGAAGUACGGUCGCAAGACUAAAACUCAAAGGAAUAGACGGGGACCCACACAAGCGGUGGAGCAUGGGGUUUAAUUCGAUAGUAAGCGAAGAACCUCACCUAGGCUUGACAUCUCGGGAAUACCCCAGAAACGGGGUAGUGCCGCAAGGAACCCGAAGACAGGCGCUGCACGGUUGUCGUCAGCUCGUGCCUUGAGGUGUACUGUUAAGUCAGCGAACGAGCGCAACCCUCAUCCUAUGUUGUUUUUUCAUGGGAGACUGCCGCCUCCAAGGCGGAGGAAGGUGGGGAUGACGUCAAAUCAGCGUGGCCCUUAUGCCUAGGGCAACACCCGUGCUACAAUGGCCGGUACAAAGCGCAGCGAACCCGCGAGGGGGAGCCAAUCGCAUAAAGCCGGUCUCAGUCCGGAUUGCAGUCUGCAACUCGACUGCAUGAAGUUGGAAUCGCUAGUAACCGUGAAUCAGCUACGUCACGGUGAAUAUGUUCCUGGGUCUUGUACUCACCGCCCGUCAAGUCAUGAAAGGUAGGAGCACCUGAAGGACCGUUACCCAUCUGGGGCGGUACCACGGUGAAACUACUGAUUGGACUAAGUCGUAACAAGGUAA